rnacentral:rRNA from 1 species
CCUGUUAAGUCAAGGUAACGAGCGAGGAUCCCCUGCCCNCUAGUNGCUAUCAUUAUUCUCAGGAAUAGUGGAGCGAAUUAGUGGGGACUGCCGUUGUUAAAACGGAGGAAGGAAGGGGCUACGGCAGGUCAGUAUGCCCCGAAACUCUGGGGCCACACGCGGGCUGCAAUGGUAGUGACAAUGAGUUCCAAACUCGAAAGAGAGUGGCAAUCUCUAAACGCUACCACAGUUAUGACUGAGGGCUGUAACUCGCCCUCACGAAUAUGGAAUCCCUAGUAAUCGCGUGUCAUUACCGCGCGGUGAAUACGUCCCUGCUCCUUGCACACACCGCCCGUCGUUUCAUCGAAGUUUGCGUUUA